rnacentral:rRNA from 1 species
AUUGAACGCUGGCGGCAGGCCUAACACAUGCAAGUCGAACGAGUGGCGGAAGGGUGAGCAAUGUCUGGGAAACUGACUGGUGGAGGGGGAUAACUACUGGAAACGGUAGCUAAUACCGCAUACCAUCAGCUGUGCCCAGAUGGGAUUAGCUUGUUGGUGGGGUAACGGCUCACCAAGGCGACGAUCCCUAGCUGGUCUGGGAGGAUGCACAGCCACACUGGAACUGAGACACGGUCCAGACUCCUACGGGAGGCAGCAGUGGGGAAUAGUGCACAAUGGGCGCAAGCCUGAUGCAGCCAUGCCGCGUGUAUGAAGAAGGCUUUCGGGUUGUAAAGUACUGUCAGCGGGGAGGCGGUACCCGCAGAAGAAGCACCGGCUAACUCCGUGCCAGCCGCCGCGGUAAUUC